UUUGUACUAACUCUCCGUCCGGAAAUACUUGUCGAAGAAAUGGAUGAAUCUAGACGUAUUUUAGUUAUAGAUACACCCAAUUGUAGCCAUCUCUCCGACAAGUAUUUCGGGACGGAGGGAGUAUUUU
rfam:Triticum aestivum genome assembly, contig: Triticum_aestivum_CS42_TGACv1_scaffold_129757_2BL